UACGUAGGGGGCUAGCGUUGUCCGGAAUUAUUGGGCGUAAAGAGCUCGUAGGCGGUUUGUCGCGUCUGCUGUGAAAUCUGGAGGCUCAACCUCCAGCCUGCAGUGGGUACGGGCAGACUAGAGUGCGGUAGGGGAGAAUGGAAUUCCUGGUGUAGCGGUGGAAUGCGCAGAUAUCAGGAGGAACACCGAUGGCGAAGGCAGUUCUCUGGGCCGUAACUGACGCUGAGGAGCGAAAGCGUGGGGAGCGAACAGG
rnacentral:rRNA from 1 species